UAGCGACAGGCCUAACACAUGCAAGUCGAGGGGCAGCACAAGGAGCAAUCUGAGGUGGCGACCGGCGACACGGGUGAGUAACACGUAUGCAACCUGGCUGUAAGAGGGGAAUAACCCGGAGAAAUCCGGACUAAUACCGCAUAAUACUUAGAAUCCGCAUGGAUUUUAAGUUAAACAUUUAUGGCUUACAGAUGGGCAUGCGUAUGAUUAGCUGGUUGGAGAGGUAGCGGCUCCCCAAGGCAACGAUCAUUAGGGGUUCUGAGAGGAAGGUCCCCCACACUGGUACUGAGACACGGACCAGACUCCUACGGGAGGCAGCAGUGAGGAAUAUUGGUCAAUGGACGCAAGUCUGAACCAGACCCAAGUCGCGUGAAGGAAGAAUGUCCUAUGGAUUGUAAACUUCUUUUGGAAGGGGAAUAAAGUACGGUACGUGUUACCGUUUUGUAUCGUACCCUUCGAAUAAGGAUCGGCUAACUCCGUGCCAGCCGCCGC
rnacentral:rRNA from 1 species